UUUCUUAUGAAUGUGAUCGCUUCGCUCUAUGAGCGGGGAGGAAAGUCCGAACUCCUUGCAUACCGGCUCCGGUUAUGGCUCGGCAAGUACAUACCUUAUGCAUAAUAAGAUCUGUGGCUUGUCCGGCUUUACCGGAUCCGGAUGUUGACAAUGGAUAGUGGGUAACACCCACCCNNNNNNNNNNNNNNNGUACGGGCGGGACAGUGCCACAGAGACAAUACUAACCCAACUUGAUUGGGUAAAAGGUGAAAAGUGUAUGGAUGUUUUUGGUCUCGAGUCAAAAGCUACCAUACUCCGGCCAUGGUAACAUGGCAUGGCGGUAAACCCUAUCCGGAGAAAGAGCAGCGUUCCCCGCCUAGGCGGGGUUCGAAAAGGUAGCUCGUUUGACGACUGCAGCAAUGCAGCUCGCAGAGAAAUGAUCACAGCCCGGCAAUGCCGGGCAACAGAAUUCGGCUUAUUUCGUAGGAAAGACA
rnacentral:RNase_P_RNA from 1 species